rnacentral:rRNA from 3 species
UAGUGGCGAACGGGUGAGUAACACGUGGGCAAUCUGCCCUGCACUCUGGGACAAGCCCUGGAAACGGGGUCUAAUACCGGAUACUGAUCAUCUUGGGCAUCCUUGGUGAUCGAAAGCUCCGGCGGUGCAGGAUGAGCCCGCGGCCUAUCAGCUUGUUGGUGAGGUAAUGGCUCACCAAGGCGACGACGGGUAGCCGGCCUGAGAGGGCGACCGGCCACACUGGGACUGAGACACGGCCCAGACUCCUACGGGAGGCAGCAGUGGGGAAUAUUGCACAAUGGGCGAAAGCCUGAUGCAGCGACGCCGCGUGAGGGAUGACGGCCUUCGGGUUGUAAACCUCUUUCAGCAGGGAAGAAGCGAAAGUGACGGUACCUGCAGAAGAAGCGCCGGCUAACUACGUGCCAGCAGCCGCGGUAAUACGUAGGGCGCGAGCGUUGUCCGGAAUUAUUGGGCGUAAAGAGCUCGUAGGCGGCUUGUCGCGUCGGUUGUGAAAGCCCGGGGCUUAACCCCGGGUCUGCAGUCGAUACGGGCAGGCUAGAGUUCGGUAGGGGAGAUCGGAAUUCCU